AUUGAACGCUGGCGGCAUGCCUUACACAUGCAAGUCGAACGGCAGCACGGGAGCAAUCCUGGUGGCGAGUGGCGAACGGGUGAGUAAUAUAUCGGAACGUGCCCAGUCGUGGGGAUAACGUAGCGAAAGCUACGCUAAUACCGCAUACGAUCUAUGGAUGAAAGCGGGGGAUCGCAAGACCUCGCGCGAUUGGAGCGGCCGAUAUCAGAUUAGGUAGUUGGUGAGGUAAAGGCUCACCAAGCCGACGAUCUGUAGCUGGUCUGAGAGGACGACCAGCCACACUGGGACUGAGACACGGCCCAGACUCCUACGGGAGGCAGCAGUGGGGGAAUUUUUGGGACAAUGGGCGCAAGCCUGAUCCAGCAAUGCCGCGUGCAGGAUGAAGGCCUCGGUU
rnacentral:rRNA from 1 species